GUGAAACUUUCAUUCAAUUAAGGUACAAAAGCGGCCAAAGUUCACCGAGGGUAGCUUAAAAGUGCAAUUUCUGAAAACGUAACAGAAAACUUCGAUUCAAAAAUAAUUUGUUUGCUAUUCGAAAGUGCUUGCAAAACUAGUCUGGGAUCACUAUUUACAGGCUUCUGCGGUUGCUUCGUUAAUGAGAUAUCUGUCUUUCAACAUGGUGAAAUUUUGCCUUUCAGCUGUUAUUGCUCCAUGAAGAAAUUAUCGAGAGCAAUAAUUUUUACACUGCAAAUCUUAGAAUUUGUCCCUCUACCAAUUCCAAUGCAAAUCUUCAGUCCUUACUGUUGCACAAGCCCUGGCUGACGCUGUUGCUGGUUCUCAGAAACAGCUCUGGGGAUUUUUCUAAAACUUGUUUACUUGAAUAGCACUUCCCUCCCCCAACUCACUUAUAAAAAAAAACUGGUUGGAAACUUACAC